GGAGAAAUGGCUGAGUGGUUUAUAGCUCCAGUCUUGAGAACUGGUAUAGUUCACAACAUAUUUAUUUGUGUAUGUGUGAACGUGUGCAAAUUCUUAUUUCUA
rnacentral:tRNA from 1 species